CACUUAUCUUUUGCACAGGUGUUUCUCGAGUAAGGACGGUUGGGGGUGAAGCCGGUCCUUCGAGGCCUAAGAAAGGUCCCGGAGGGUAUGAUCACGUUGAUCCUCCGGUCUUGAACGGAGAGGGUCCCUGCCCGUACUGCCACCUGUCACCAUGUGUCAGAGCCAGACCACCCAGCUGGCUGAUUGGAAGCGCUGCACCUAAUUUGGGGAAUAUGGUGAAGCGCUUCAAACUAUACCGCAAGUAUUGGACGCUGCUAGGUCAGUUGGGGGUAUGGAAUCACCCUCUAUAUAUGGCAUAUAAAGUGACCAAAACCAGUGCACAUGACAAGAGGGAUGUGAUGCCUGACUGUGUAUUGAGAGAGGUGCGUGAACGAUUUCCGAAUCCAGAUGGAGUUCCAUACACAGACUUCCAGUCUUCUACUUCCUUUAUUGUUUAAUUAUGUAAAAUGCCAUGUAAAAUGCUGAUUGGCUAGUCAAAAUGUGCACGGAUACGUACUUACUUUAUAUGUCUUCAUAAAGAUCUUCGUCAAGUACAUGUACACCAUCGUUUACUAGGUCCUCGUUUUCAUCUACUGGCUCAUCUGAUUGCUCAGGUUGCACGUCCUCUACAAACUCACUGCACAUAUAUACAUGUAGCAAGAUUAUAUGUAAUAAAUUAUGUAGAUUGCAUUAUAUGCAGUACCUGAGGUCAACUUUUCUCUGCUGCUCGUAAUUCUCCCAUAUUUCUCCGGCAAAGUUGAACGAUUUUUCCUUCAGCACUCUCAUGGGAGUCCUACGAUCCGGUCUUCUCAUGUCCUGAACCAGUCGUUCACUUGUACACUCUCUACGUACAUUCUCGUUCUGAAGUAAACAAAUGAAUGAAUGUACAGUCACACAUACAUUAUUAGCCAGCAUAACGUACCCAGUCCAUAAUAGCAAGGUCCAUUCUCAUGUUGAAUGUAGCUUCCCCGAAGUGUACACGUUUUGAGAUGUAUGUGAGCAGCUGGUGAUUGAAAGACUCCACCCAGAAUGUGUCUCGACACUGUAAAAACAACAUCAUAGGAAUUUUAAUAAUAAUUAGAAAAAAACCUCACUCGACAAUAUGAUUCGGCAUUCUUGUAAAUAAGGGUGUCUUUUAGUGCUGACGUGAAUGACUCGAUUGCAAGAGGAUCCUCUAGUUUUAUCUUCGUGGGCUUGUACCCUGGACGCUUACAGGGUGACGCUUCGUUACAAUCUGAGUGCUCGUUCUGAGAACACGAUUAUAAAUGUUAUUGGUGUACAGAGUACGGACAACUUGUUAUCUAUCAUACACACUCACCUGAUAAUGUUUAACGAUAUUCAGAAUGUUCUUUCUUAGAUUGUCUGCUGACUGCUCACAGUUCUUCAUACAGUAGUACAAGUGAACUUUCGUACUUUUACCUAUUGACGAAUAUUUUUAUGUUACUGAGCACUUAUAUAAUCAAAGCUUACGCUUGUCAGAUAACUCUGGAAACCACGUCUUUCCUUGAGCCUUUUUGGUCCCAAUUGCUACUUUCUUCAUAUUCUUCGCUACAUUCUUAGUGCCUGAAAAUACGCGGACACAGUAAUAAUUGAGAUUUGAGAUUCUACACACUUACCAUGCCAUGUGUCGUACGAGUACGAGUAUGUAAGGUUGAGAUCAUCAGUGACAAAUCUCUUGACUACAGGCUGAUUAUCAUGCGCUACUUCAACAAUAUUGAGACCUGAGACAUAAUAUCCACAAAAAAUAAACACAACCUCAUAAUGUUGAUGCCUGAACAUACCUUUAUCUAUGACUUCCGGAAGAACUAUCUUAGUACACGCUACUUCUCGAGUCUGAGCACAGAUGUGUUCUUUCCUGGAAACAGUCGAACACCCAACAAUUCUUUUCGUACUAGAAAAAGAUAAUUUUCAUAUGAUAAACGACAGCAGCACACUUGUAGAUAAUGAAAAUAAUUAGUUUACCUUCCCGAGAGGCAGGGAACAGUCGUGUGAUAAGCAUUUGCUGUUGAGUCGUGGCGAGCAUCUGUUAUUACCCACUAUUGAUAAAGUCAUUACUGAAAAACAAAAACAAAACUAGCACAUAAGAAUUAAUUACCUCACCGUCCUGCGAGUAACCAGGUAAUGCCUUCACUUCGUCAAUCGCUCUCAACAUGGAUGCCUUGGCACAAGCAUUCACGACGUCUAAGUAUCCACCUUUCUUGUACACUGUAACGUCACAGUGUUUUGUAAGAGUACAGUUAUAACAUACAUGUACACUUACUUGACGAAAUAUACUUGACGAAAUAUACCAUGAACUAACUUUUCCCAAGCCAGCAUGACUACUAAAGUGAAGGUACUGGCUUGGGAGAACUCCAGCACAAGUAAAACCAUGGACGAUCCUGCAAUAAAUAGAAUUCCAAGUUAAUCUUGAAAACGUAUGGAAUUACUCACUUUUGAUUGACAAGGUAUCGUCCACCGAGUGUUCGCGAGCUAGCCCACCACUGUCGCUUUCCACAUUUUCCACACUUGAAUUCAAAUCGGACAACAUGCCCGUUCUGAAAAACAAUAUUAUAUUGCAUACAUCAUGUAUUGGGUCUAUCGGAUCAGAAAUACCUGGCGAAAAUUGGUCGGCCUACGACAAUAAGAUUGGCACUGGUCACAUGCUUGGGAUAGGCCAGUGAAAAGACAGAACAAAGUCUUCAGUUCACACACGAACAACUGUUCAUCACUAGCGUCAGUAUUGCCAGUAAAUAUUCCUGAACAAGAAGUAACGUCUUUAUACAAACUUAUCAAAGCUACUGACACACACAAACCUGAAUUCUCCAACAUUGGGAAGACUUUGGAUUUAUCAGAUUGUAGGUCUUCUCUCUCAGGAACAGCACCUGCCUGCUCCUGCUCCUGCUCCAACUUGUCCAACAAAACAGAAAUAAGCUCUCUGCUGUCCAAGGGCAAUGAGCCUCUAGCUGUAGCAGCAAGAGAACGCUUUGCCCUAUCUAUCCUAGCUACAAAAGCCUGCUUUGCAUCUUCAGUAUCGAAAUUCAGCUCCAUUUGGUACCGAAAACCAUGCCUAGCACGCUUCUUCUUGGGUAGAGAACGAGAGUUGUCACAUCUUUCAGCCAUUUUUUUUUGCUCUUUUUUGAACAAAGUAUCUCGUGAGCCAAGGUGCUACAUGCAGGCUAUAAGGGGCGUAUCAAAGUAAAACCAUGUGUGCAUGAAGCAAGCAGUGAAGCAAAAGGAGGCCAGAGAGUUUAUCGCACGCGGCCAUAUUUAAUCAUUUCCGCCUCGAGUGCCCAGGGCACGCCCCUUUUAUAGUCAGCAUGCUCGUUUAACUGCACAGAGCAACUGGGCUUGAAAAUAGGGCUAUACAUAAUAGACCACGCAGGCUGUAAAAUUUUGUUGUUGGGUAGUAAUAUCAACCAUGCUAUAUGAAGUACCAUUGGCAACAACACAUUAGGCAACAACACAUUAGUAAUUAUACUAGCGCUAUGAACUUCUACAAUAAUAUUCAACGACUUACUUACCACAGGCAUAGCCUCGCUCCACUUCUUCCGCAAUCCAAUUUCUUCUUUCAAUUGUAUAGGCUGGCAUCAAAGAAGAUCGAGAGCACUCCUCUAUAUAGCUAUGAUCUUGCUUACGAUCGUACACUCUUGCUUUAACCCUUUCCCGGCUUUGGACGACAUAUGUCGUCCAGCUGACCGAGAUUUUUAAAAAAUUUGCUGUGCUGGCUGUGUUGGAGCUAUGCACACACUGUAGGUACCAGCACAUGCGCAUUGAGCUGCUCUUUCACAUGGUAUUUUCAACAUCUUGCUUCGAGGUACACUUUGUGCACACUUUGUGCAGUACUGUCGAAAGAAAAGUGACUGUUUGAUGAUGACUUCAAGAUCUUCGUAGUACAACCUCAGUGGGGUUCUAGAGCUGCUAGACAGUGAGAAUAUCGAUCCUUAUGGUCUUGUAGAGUGAGAGGACAGUGACUGGGAUCAUAGAUAGGUAGGAAGCUACCUCAAGCUAAAAAAUAAAGAGCCUGAGGAGCCUGAAGGAGCUGGACCAAGUUUCUGGAUCUGGUAAGUCUAGAGUAGCAUUUGUACAACAUACUGUAUUCUGAUAGCUUCAGGAUAGCUUCAGUAUAGGUUUGCUUAGGCUAGUUAGUACAGCAGUGGAUAUCAUGAGCCACCAUCACUGCAAAAACACUUUUGUUAUUGUGACACAGUUUGCUACCGGCACAAAAUGUUAUCUUGACAAAACGUUUGUCAAUUUCCUGCAAUUAUUGUUAUAACGACAAAUCAUAGUUUAUUUAACUAUUAAUAUAGUUUAUCUAACUAUUAAUAUUUGUUAUUAUUGUUAUUUGAACACAUGUGUUGUCAUUUUGUCGAAUCGUUGUUGAUCUCACAAAUAGUGGAAGUUACCGUUCAUUGUCAAAUUAACAUUAAUGUGUGACAAUAACAAAUUAUAAAGUUACAGCUAGAACUCUACUAAAAGAUACGUGCAAGUUUGCAUCACUGAUUUCAACCUACUCAACCUAUACUCGAUUACCCUAGCUCGUAAUAAAUUGUCUACACUGAAACAUCUCAGUUGCCCUGAUGCUUAAAUCUUUGCAUGCUCAUGUUCAAUUGUGUAUGUAGCAAUUGGAGACUUGUGACUGGUAAGUUACAGUGGCAGUGAAGAAGUCAGGAGCCUCCAGAGCCCUUCAGUGCAGUGCAGUGCAGGCAGCCUUCUCUCUAUAGCCUCCUUCACAAGGCCUGGCCUGAAGAGCGGCCUGGGAUCGAGCUUCUCUCUAGCCUCUAACUCUAGCUAGUCUCGAGGCCAGGAGAGUUUGGCCUCGAGACUAUAAUUAUAAGCUGGAACUAUAGGUGUGGCAUGAGGGGGCGUUCAGGAAUAACAGGGCAAGGCCUCAAACAUACUUAGCACAUGGUGCUUGCAGCUGCACCAGACUGCAGCUGCUCAUGCAGCUUUAUACCAUCACUGACUGCAUGCCUGUACCCCUGGCCUGGGCUACCAUGUUCCAUGUACACCAGCUAGGAUCUAGGAGUCAAGAGUCACCUGCAUCUGCAGCUUGAAAGAAAAGACAAUUGCAAGUUAGUCAGUGCUCAUUGCUAAACUCAACUUAUUGCCCAAUACUCUCUUUCAGAUUUUCUUAAAGAGUAGAUAGUACCACCAUCUCAAAGAAAAAAGUUAAGUUCCAUUGCAUGCUGUUGGCGCAUGGCAUGUACAUGAUCCCAAAACUCUCUGAAUUCACAGUUUACAAAUCACUGCUAUACCGUAUCGGCGUAUAACUCCACCAUGUACCAGCUUCAAAGAAAAAGGAUUUAAGUUAUGUUGCUCAUUGCUAAAUAAAUGUGUUUACGUGUUUCUUCCACUUCCAGCUGCAGAUUUUACCGUACCUCGGCCCCACAAUGUGUACCAGCUAGGAGUCUACUUAACCACCUUCAUCGACUUCAAAGAAACGACUUGCAAGUUAUGUCAGAUUCCAUAAAACUAUAUAGCUAGCUAGAGGGCAACUGUCCCUGGUUUCGACCUUCAUCUGUAGCAUACUGAUUUACAAGUUUGUGUCUUCAUGCACUGGUUUCGACUAGUCAACUUCGUCCAUGGGGUGAUAGCUAGUAUACUGAUUUACGAGUUUGUGUGUAUGUGUCCUCAUGUGUCAGUUACACUGGUUUCGACUGGUCAACUUCGUCCAUGGGGUGAUAGCUAGUACACUGAUUUACGAGUUUGUGUGUAUGUGUCCUCAUGUGUCAGUUACACUGGUUUCGACUGGUUUCGACUGGUCAACUUCGUCCAUGGGGUGAUAGCUAGCAUACUGAUUUACGAGUUUGUGUGUAUGUGUCCUCACGUGUCAGUUACACUGGUUUCGACUGGUCAACUUCGUCCAUGGGGUGAUAGCUAGCAUUGUAAUUUACCAGUUUGUGUGUAUGUGUCCUCAUGCGUCAGUUACACUGGUUUCGACUGGUCAACUUCGUCCAUGGGGUGAUAGCUAGCAUUGUAAUUUACCAGUUUGUGUGUAUGUGUCCUCAUGUGUCGGUUACACUGGUUUCGACUGGUCAACUUCGUCCAUGGGGUGAUAGCUAGCAUACUGAUUUACGAGUUUGUGUGUAUGUGUCCUCAUGCGUCAGUUACACUGGUUUCGACUGGUCAACUUCGUCCAUGGGGUGAUAUAGCUAUAGCAUACUGAUUUACGAGUUUGUGUGUAUAUGUGUCCUCAUGUGUCCUCACGUGUCAGUUACACUGGUCAACUUCGUCCAUGGGGGUGAUAGCUUAUACUAUUUACAUUUUGCACUACAUAUGUGUUGGUAACUAUAGUGACUUCAAUCUUUUGUUCUGUAGGGGCUUAUUGUGACGAAAAUGAUCAGGGAUGUAGCGUUCAUGAAACCAAACGAAACGCCUGCAGUUCACUGUACUGGAAUUUCAAGAAACGCUAAGUGAUGAACACUAAAAACAAUUUACUGACAGAAGAAAUGUAUUGUGCUGCAUGUCAUGUGAUCCAGUGAUCUUAUUCUAUCAUAAACUCAUUGUUCUAAUACCGUUUGACCUUCUGCAUGUGCGUACGUGCGCGAGAAAACAACUAAUUAAAUGACAAAGGUGAAGAACGUUUCCCGGGAAAAGGGUGUCUGCUGAUACGACCUCGCAGAGAAGUUUCGGCAGAUCCUGAUCGAACUAUGUCACCGUGAGAACAUUGAGAACACUUACUUAGUGUCUAUAGCACUUUGUGCCUUCGUAUAAUAUUGUUUGUGUACAUAAUUGUGAAUGUUUGUAAACAA